AUUGAACGCUGGCGGCAGGCCUAACACAUGCAAGUCGAGCGCGAAAGUUCGUCGGAAUGAGUAAAGCGGCGGACGGGUGAGUAAUACAUGGGAAUCUGCCUGGUAGUGGGGGACAACGUUUCGAAAGGAACGCUAAUACCGCAUACGCCCUACGGGGAAAGGGGGGGAGUCUUCGGACCUCUCGCUAUCAGAUGAGCCCA
rnacentral:rRNA from 1 species